UUUGAGAAAAUCGAAUCCCUCAUCUUCGAUUCCUUCCGGAUGAAAAAAGCCAAUGAAUGAUUUCUCUGGGACUACUGAGAGCGGGCGUACUUUAGCCUGGACCACUGUUUCGAGGUCAAAAUGCUUAUCUGGGAAACGCUCUCUGUACGUCCUGUUUUCACAGAGAUUCCUCCACUCUAGUGAACCUUCACGGAUAAGACUGUCGAGUUGGGACUUGAUAGGCAUUUCUUCAGGGUUGGAAUGGAGCCAAUCAGCAAUCACAGCAACCAAGGCUGUACAAGCACUUUCACCUGCAGCCCGUUCAUUUCGUUGAUCAAUUGAAGCAAAGAAGACCUCAGUCUGCAGCUUCAUCUGCCCAUCACGGCGUACUAUCUCUUUCUGCUCCCAACUACCAACAGCAAAACUGUCUUCUCCAAACUCGGAGACUGGAAAUCCAUUCGCAGUUGAACCUUCCUCAGAUUUAUUCCACUGCAAGCAAGAUAGUUAUAUUAGAGCUAUAGAAGUAUGCAAGGCAGUGAGGUAAGUUAUCAAUCUCUGGAAGCUCAUUACGAGGUGAUAAAUAGUAUUCCACCGUGCAAAUUCACUUGGAUCCUGGAAAGAUCUUAGAUUAAAAAACGGAAGUAAGAGAAGAUGGAGACAUACCACUGAAGAAGACUCAUCGGAUGAACUAAGCUGUCGGCGAUCAAAAUCUAUAUCAUCCCCACCUUCCUCUCCAUAAUGCUUCUUCAACAACGGCUCUCCUUUGGGUUUAGGAGAUCUGAAGCUUAACUUUCUCUUCCUCCAAGGGAGAAUUUUGCGUUUUGAACUNNNNNNNNNNNNNNNNNNNNNNNNNNNNNNNNNNNNNNNNNNNNNNNNNNNNNNNNNNNNNNNNNNNNNNNNNNNNNNNNNNNNNNNNNNNNNNNNNNNNNNNNNNNNNNNNNNNNNNNNNNNNNNNNNNNNNNNNNNNNNNNNNNNNNNNNNNNNNNNNNNNNNNNNNNNNNNNNNNNNNNNNNNNNNNNNNNNNNNNNNNNNNNNNNNNNNNNNNNNNNNNNNNNNNNNNNNNNNNNNNNNNNNNNNNNNNNNNNNNNNNNNNNNNNNNNNNNNNNNNNNNNNNNNNNNNNNNNNNNNNNNNNNNNNNNNNNNNNNNNNNNNNNNNNNNNUGCAGACCUGCUUUCAAAGCAGAAAGCUCAUUUCUGUCUGUCGACAAAACCUCUGCAGGGGAAGGAGAUACUGGAGCAGACAUGACAAACUUUGGCAUCGUGAGCAUUCCCCAAUUCAACAAGAUUGAGAGACAACUGCCAUAAACAAAAUCUACCAUAUUAACCAAAAAUUAAGGAAAAAAGGGGACUAUCGAUGUAGAUCAAGCAAAUUUGUUUUGCUUACACAAAGUGAACGGUUGGUCUUAUAGCCGCCACUAUAGGCUUACAAGGGAAUGACUAUUUCAAUUUCUUCUUUUUCCCUAGCUUCUGAAGCAAAGUCUGCAAUGUUCAAUGAUGCAGCAGCAACUAUGGGGACUUUAUGGUUCGAUCGUUUAUUCGUAACCUGCUUUUUUAGAAUAAACAUGAACAAGUACUUUGCCAAGCAACUUACAGAGUUCAUAUCACAAGUAUGGAAUUGAAUAAAACAGUGAAUGAAACACAAAAGAUGCUGUAUGAGCAAAGAAAGCAAACUAAAAAAAAAGGUUGAACUUUUUUUCUUUCCUUUUUGGGUUAAAUCAAACCUCCCUCUUAAUUAUAAAACAAAAGAUGCUAGAUGAGUAAAGAAAACAACUAAAGAAAGGCAUAUUCUUCAAAGUGCUCAACUAUCAUUUGCCAAAAAUAUUAAAGAAAUAUACAGAAUAUGCCAAUAAUAUUAUAUUUUUCACAAAAAUGUAUAAGCCACAUGUAGAAAAGUUAAUACUGAUUUGAAUGAAAAUUAGGAGGUCCUGACCAUCCAUAUUACAUCACUAUUAAAACACACCACAAGCAAUUAAGGUGGGUCCAACAUUAAGUAAGCAUUACCUUUUUGACUACCACAGCAUGUUUAGAAUAGUAGUAUCUUCAUUAUCUAAGCUAAAUAAAAAAUUACUUUUCAGAAAAUGCAUUGAAAAUUAGGUUACUAUAAUGUUUAAAGGAAGAACAUCAAGGGGAAAUUCACUAUUCAUUCACUUUGUUUCUAAUCCAAAGUUUUUCACACUUAUGUUUGUAAUCAAACUCAAAGAGAAAAACAGCUUUGGUGAUGAGUUCCAUCAUCAAACCAAACUAAGAACAAAGGAAUUCUACUAAUUUAAAGAAAUUCAAGAAAUUAUUUAAUAUCUUGAGUUGAGGGUCUAUCGGAAACCGUUUCUCUACCUCACAAGGUAGGGGUAAGGUCUGACCUCCCUGGAUCCCACUUGUGUGAUUACACUGGCUAUGUUGUCCUUGUCAAGAAAUUAUGCUAUUAGAUCAAAAAUUCAUGAUUGGAUGAUUUAAAGAACAGUGAUCAAACCAAAAACAAAACACUUCUACUAUUUUUUUUUGAGGUUCAAGAAAUUAUACUAUAUGAUCUAGUUUCAUGACAUGACAAUGAUCAAGAAAAAGCUUAGUCCCUCCUAAUUCCUUACCCCUACAAGACAAGAAAGACACAAAUCCAUAGCCCUCACCAAAAGUCAAGCUUCCACACCAAAAGUCAAGGCCUUUGAUCAAUUCUCAAUAACAACAGUAGCUCAUAUCAAAACAACCAAACAAAAAUAUCAAAACCAAUAAACUUAAAAGAGGUAAUAGCAAGAGAUAUCUCACAUUGAAUACUGUAAAAGAAACAUCCCCAUUUCCAGGACCUCCUUCUCCUCUUUUCGCUUCAAUCUCAGGUGAGUAAUUUUUUUUUUCACAUUUACGUACGCUUAAUGUUAUCAGUACAAUGAAAAAUACGAAUUACUUACAAUACAUUUAUCUAUAUGUAUGUAACCAAUUUUUUCUGUAUUUUUUUCGGGUUUAAUUGAUGACCCAUUUGAUAUAUGUGUGUGUAGAGUGUGGUGUUGCAGUCAGAGUGGUAAAAAUCAGGGGCGAAUGGAACAAAUAGUUGUUGAUGGCUCAGAGUCACAAGUUGUAGUGGAUGAUCCUAAUUUGUUGCAAAAGAAAAUAUCUGCAAUUCGACUUGGGGGUCCUGCAAAGCUACAGGUGAAUCUUACAUUGUUGGUUUUUGUUUUGUUUUGUUGGGUUGUGAAUUAUGUUGAGAGUAAUGCAUGAUUUGGAUUUAGUCCCAAAAGUUAUGAGCUUUAUGUGUUUGUUCAUGUUACUUAUUGGGUUGAAUUUCUAAUUUCUUGAGUAUAUGUACUCCCUUCGUCCCAAUUUAACUGUCUUAGUUUCUAAGUUNNNNNNNNNNNNNNNNNNNNNNNNNNNNNNNNNNNNNNNNNNNNNNNNNNNNNNNNNNNNNNNNNNNNNNNNNNNNNNNNNNNNNNNNNNNNNNNNNNNNAAUUUAAAGAGAUUCAAGAAAUUAUUCAAUAUCUUGAGUUGAGGGUCUAUCGGAAACCACCUCUCACAAGGUAGGGGUAAGGUCUGACCUCCACAGACCCCACUUGUGCGAUUACACUGGCUAUGUUGUCCUAGUCAAGAAAUAUGUUAUUUGAUAAAAAAUUCAUGAUUGGAUGAUUUAAAGGACAUUGAUCAAACAAAAAACAAAACACUUCUACUAUUUUUUUUGGAGAUUCAAGAAAUUAUACUAUAUUAUCAAGUUUCAUGACAUGACAAUGAUCAAGAAAAAGCUUAGUCCCUCCUAAUUCCAUACCCCUACAAGACAAGAAAGACACAAAUCCAUAGCCCUCAUAAAAAGUCAAGCUUCCACACCAAAAGUCAAGGCCUUUGAUCAAUUCUCAACAAUUUGUUGAUGGGACAGAAUUCUCAAUAACAACAGUAGCUCUAACAAAUUGAGUUCUCAUUUCUCAUAAAAUAUAUACCAAGAUCAAAUUUUUAAUCUCUUUUUUUAAUUCUAAAAACAACCAAACAAAAACAUCAAAACCAAUAAACUUAAAAGAGGUAAUAGCAAGAGAUAUCUCACCAGGACCUACUUCUCCUCUUUUCGCUUCAAUCUCAGGUGAGUAAUUUUUUUUUCACAUUUACGUACGCUUAAUGUUUUCAGUACAAUGAAAAAUACGAAUUACUUACAAUACUUUUGUCUAUAUGUAUGUAACCAAUUUUUUCUGUAUUUUUUUCGGGUUUAAUUGAUGACCCAUUUGAUAUAUGUGUGUGUAGAGUGUGGUGUUGCAGUCAGAGUGGUAAAAAUACAGGGGCGAAUGGAACAAAUAGUUGUUAAUGGCUCAGAGUCACAAGUUGUAGUGGAUGAUUCUAAUUUGUUGCAAAAGAAAAUAUCUGCAAUUCGAGUUGGGGGUCCUGGAAAGCUACAGGUGAAUCUUACAUUGUUGGUUUUGUUUUGUUUUGUUGGGUUGUGAAUUAUGUUGAGAGUAAUGCAUGAUUUGGAUUUAGUCCCAAAAGUUAUGAGCUUUAUGUGUUUGUUCAUGUUACUUAUUGGGUUGAAUUUCUAAUUUCUUGAGUAUAUGUACUCCCUUCGUCCCAAUUUAACUGUCUUAGUUUCUAAGUUGCGUGGACUCUUCACUUUUGAUGCUGCAACCGUGUCAGAUUAUCCAAAAAUACACUACUUUUGGAGAAUACGACACGCAUUCACUUACAUUUUUGAAGGGUCUAAGCAACAUAUUAUAGUUUGACUGAACACGAAGUUUAAGAAAUAAAUGGAGACUUUUGAAUAUGGUGGUUUCAAAUUAAAAAUGAGUGUAGUCCUUUAAAUCUUGUGGUCAACUUGACAGGUAGAAUGAUGGAAUUGGAAAACUUACUAUGUCUAGAAAGAGACACUCUUUUUGGGACAGACCAAAGAGGAAAGUAAGACACUUAAAUUGGGACAGAGGGAGUACUUUUUUGGGAGUAGGGGAUGAGGAUGUGGAGUGUUGAUUUUAAGACAUUGUUGUAUUGCUUGUUAAUCUGAUCAAUGGAACUUUUGGCAACUGUAUAAUACACCAUUUCUCCGUGAAGAGAGUUGUUAUCUAGGGAGUAGUAAUGUUGAUCUUGGGUGUAUAUAUGGAAAACUUCAUCGAUAACUUGUUAUUUCAUGGUUAAAGCUUCAUUGGUUAUCUUGUCUGUGAGGAUGAGGUAGCUUUAACAUUCUCAUGCUUCUUGGAUGUGAUAGGUAAACUUGUAAGUGGUUAGUUGACCCUGUACUGACACAUACUAAUCCCUAGGUCCUUAUAUAAACUACGACAAAAAUAUGUAUCUGAAGUGUUAGUUGCUUGCUGGUAGGAUAUACUUUUAGAUGUCGAAUCUAACUGAUUGUAUUUGUCUAAGUCAUGGCAUGCUUCCGGAAAAGUUCUGUUAUCCAGGAUCAACUAUACACACCUUUCUGAAGUUUCUAUCUGAUGUUUAACUUCUUUUACGUGCUAAGGAGUCAUUUGGUACGUGGGCUAAGGUGGUAUCCUAGGAUUAAGUUUAGGAUUAGAAUUAUACUGAAUUUUGUUGAUGGUAGUAAAAUUGAACCAUUAGUUUAAAAAAGAAAAUAAGAAAAUAAAAUUGUACCAUCAACCAAACAAUGUAUAAAUCAAAUCCAAACUUAAUCCUAGGUAUCCCACCUUAUCCCAUCCAAUUUGGUAUUAUUUUAUCCCACUUCCCAGGUGGGAUAAAUUAGUCCAAGGAUUAUAAUACUAGGACUAUAACUUAGUUCGUGAACUGAACCACCCGUAAGAUUUGGUUAAUUAAGGGUACAUGUGCCCAGCUCAUUGUCUCUUGUACUUCCUGAACAGCUGCUUAGUUGCAUCUGGAAAGCAGAGGUUAGAUCUAAUAUCAAGUAAACACUUGAGUUUGAACUAUAUUACUGUUUGUCAACAUGAUCUUGGUCUAAGUUCAUCUCAACCAAAGUAGAAACGAUCAUGAUUAUAGGUGAUCUUAAUAGAAUGGGACUGAGAAACACGUGGAGGAGUUAGGGUGAAGGACAUACAAUUGUUAGUCCUGUUAUUCCAGUCUGGUGCUAUUUAAAGCUUUUCUCAUGCGCUCGGUUAAAACCAACUAAUGGAUGUUGGGUCUACUUUUCAGUUCCAUAUGGUUUGAGAUGAUGCUAUUAUGUUAGGCUCCAUGUUUUAUUUGACCUAUGUACAGAAAUAUUGACAUUUAUUAAUGUAAAGUACAGGUCUUUGCUAGAACCUCGAACAUUUCACACACAUACCCAUGCGUAUUUUACCUUGUUCUAAUUGGUUUUUACUUUUACUUACUGACUAUUUCAACAUUCUAGGUAAUUGCAGAUUUUGAUGGCACAUUGACAAAAUAUUGGAUAGAUGGUUGCCGAGGCCAAGGUAUGUUAUCCACUUCAUACAACAUUAUCCUAUUACAAUAGCUUGUCUGGAACAGACAGCUAUCAAUAGUAUUUGAUAUACGUUUCUUAGGUCACAAGUGAAGGACUUGUCAAAAUAACGAAUUUUGUAGGCAGUCAUAAUGUUGUACAACAGGAGGAUCCUGAGUUCAAUGACAAGAGGCAGAAAUUAUAUGAGUAUUAUCAUCCCUUAGAAUUUGAUCCAACAAUUCCCCUUGAUGAGAAAACCAAGCUCAUGGAAGAGUGGUACGUGUUAUGAUUUUGUACUGCUAGAAUCGGGUCCAGACUCGUGUUAUAUAUUGCAUUUUGAGUUAUUGACAAGUGAAAUAGAUAAUAUGAAGUUCCGAGAUAAUAUUUAUAUUUUAUCGUAAGAGUAGUAGUAUAUCCAGCUCCCUUAUAUCAGCAAAUGGGGACCAUCAUCGGAUUGGUGAAAUUUAAAGGGAUUGUAGUACCAUGGCCCAUGUGUUAAUGUCUAACUUGUUUUCUGCAGGUGGGGAAAAACACAUGCUCUUCUCAUUGAAGGAGGCGUUACAUACAAUGGAAUUCAAAAUUCCGUGGCUAAAGCCAGAAUUGCAUUCAGGGAUGGUGUAACUGAACUUCUUGAACUUUUGGAGGUACAGUUAGCCACCAUCAGUUGUUGUUUUCUGAGACAUCUUGGGAUGAUGUUGAUGAAGGCCAAUGCAACAAAUAUGAACCAUUGUGAUUUCCUUGUGUGAUCUAAAUUAUUGGAAAGAAAUUUGAUGGUAUUAGUUUAUCAAAAAUCCAGAGUAUGGAUAAUAGGGUCAUUCCAAGCACUUAAGAACCUUAGAGGAAAUGCCUUGAUUAUUUUCUUUUCUUCUGUUUUUGUUUAUUCGACUUUUGAAAGUCCCUAGAAUGUCAGGCUCAACCACAGCUCAAAUGUUGUUUUAGAGAAAGUGAAAUUGAACAGUGGUAUUACUAAAUGAUGUGUUGGUUUCCAUUUACUGUAGUUGCAGAAUUCAUGCUAAUGCCAAAUUUAGUAGUCAAUUUAUCCCAGAAUAGGUCUUUUUAGAAGAAUUUCCUUUUGACCUUCUACUAUCUCACAUGUGAUUGCUUCAGUAAUGAGCCGGGAUUGUUUGGUAUGCAGGAAAAAGGUGUUCCUGUUCUUAUAUUCUCUGCAGGUUUAGCUGACAUAAUAGAGGAGGUUAGUUCUUAAGGAUUAUCGGUGGUCUUGAUGCAUAACAGGUGUAUGCGAUCCCGUUAUAUUUGUCCAGUUUUGCUUUAGAUAUGAUUCUCUCAUCUUCUUGAUCUGUCAGGUGCUGAAGCAGAAAGUUCAUAGAUCUUUCAAGAAUGUUAGAGUUGUCUCCAACAGGAUGGUGUUUGAUGAAAAUGGCCACCUACAGUCAUUUAAAGGUAUCACCUAUCACCAUUUAGAGGUGCUUUUUACUUACUUUAGAAAGUGCUUCAAGCAGUUUCCACUAAUGGUUAGGUACAUUGUAUAUGUGCAUAGACUACCAAAUUUUAGCUAUUCCCCUAAUGUUUAGGAAUUGGCCUUCAAUGGAGGAAUACUCUGCUCUAAUUAUGCCUCCCUGGUGGAACAAGUCGAUAAAGAGUUCUAAUUUCGUACACAGACCCCCCCGCCCCGCUCCCCCCCUAUUUUUUAUGAUAAGGUUAACUUUAAAAGCUAAAGUCUAACAUACACACAAGAUGUGUUGCAGUGAUGCUAAGGUGGAUGUUUCAGUCAUACAAGAUUAGAUAAGAUAGAAAUGAUGACAUUGAAAGUAGCACACGUUGAGGAUAAAAUGAGAGAAGUUUGCCUGAGAUGAUUCGGUCAUGUCAUGCAACGACCUACAAAUGCACCUGUCCAUAGGUAUGAAACUAUAGUGAGUGAAGGUGUUAAAAGAGGACAAAGUAGACCUAACAUAAUAUGGAUGGAUGUUGUCUAGAAAGCCCUAAGAUUUCUUGGAAUCAAUACAGACUUGGCUAAUGAUAGGACAUAAUUGAAGAAAAAGAUCCAUAUAAGCGGGUAUCACCAGUUGAGAAUAGGUUUUAGUUUUGUUAAUACGUUGAUUUUGAAUCUAUCUCUUUUUAGGAGUAUUUUGACCUUUAUCAUAGAUUAAUAUGCCACUAAAAAUAUAGAGAACUUUUAAUAUUGUCAUCAUUAUCAUUAUUUUAAAUAUUCAACUAAUUUUUCACUUUUGUAAAGCUUAAAUGGAGAAACUGGUCAAUGGUGAUUCAUAUAUCUGACCUCUACUUGUUUGGGAUUGAGAUGUAAUUGUUAUUGUUGUUACGCUUGGUAGGGAUAAGUGUGAGAUUUAGGGAGCCACUAGUUUGAGAGAGCUCCUAAUUUGCCUUAAAAGACAAAUCGCUUACCAGUAUUGCAAUGAAGUGUGCCCAAAUACAGCAUACUAUACAGAAGAAUUUAAUCAACGUCCCCAAGUUAUGAUCUUUUGAGUUUUAAAUUUUCAACUUAUAAGGACUUAAAAAAAUACAGUUAACCCUCCAUAAAUUUUGAUAUUUAAAAGGCUAACCGAAGUGCGGAAAUCUAAUACAUGAAAACACCUGAACACUAAAACUCUACAAAUUAAGACUUCUAUAUGUAAUAUAGAUUAGUUUAGAACUGGAGUUCAAGCCCUGUAACAAAGUGAUUAAUAUCUGAUCAUUGGUUGGACAUAUUUGACUAGUACUUACUAGAUACUAAGCUUUUACACAUAUUUGGUCUAUACUGGAACAGCGAGGCUCACAAGCAAAGCCAAUUGCACAUAUAUUUCUUGUAUUGUGGUCAUUUUUACAUCUUUGUUUCUAAAAUUAAGAACACUAACUGCUACCUGCAGGUAAGACAAUCCAUGUACUCAACAAGAAUGAGCAUGCACUUGACAUGGCUGCACCACUUCAUGAUCACUGUGAUGACGUGAAAGGACUGGGUGAUGAGAAAUAUGCAUUAAAAAAGAGAACUAAUGUGCUACUUCUUGGUGACCACAUUGGAGAUUUGGGAAUGUCUAACGGCUUAGACUAUGAAACAAGAAUAUCUGUGGGUUUUCUGUAAGUAUCUCAUCAUAUUUCCUUAUUCAUCACAUUUAAACAAUACUGAGAUAUCAUAGAACACGAACACUGCUCAUAGAAUAAAGUCAUUUUUGUUUUGCUUUGUCUCACCUCAAGUUGGUCAUGCGAUAUCCAAGGUAAAUGGAUUGUAAUUAUAAUUGUUUUAAGUUGUAACUCCUUAGUUAGAGAAAUUAAGUACCACAUCCCAUAAUUGAAGUAGAAAUUGUUCCACUAUCGAUUGGAUUUGAAAUCUUUUUCAGCUAUAAGGCUUUGAGCCUUUGUAAGAAAAGUUUCCAUAAUUAGAGUUUCUCUUUUUGUUUUUUUUUUUCUUCAAAUUUGAUCAUUAAUGAGGGCAAGAAUUACAGCUUUUGAGUUUGGCAUCCCAAACUUUUACAUGAUCAAAGAAUAGAGAUACUAUAAACAAGCUCUACUAAUAAGUAACACCAAAAAAAAGUCCAAGUUAUUGUGGAGGCUAACUGGACAUGAUAUGCUAUGAUUAAGCUAUGGAGGCGCAUAGACCUCCAUAUUUAGAGUUGUUCAAAAUUUUCAAGUCAUGAACAUUAAGAUGAAAUGAGUUGAUAGUGAUGGCAUACAAAGUUGUAUUGAAACUACAAACAUUUAUCCUGACUCGCUAAAUGGAUUGACAAGUACUAAAAGCUGAAGUAAAGGAAAUUGCGACCGCAAGAAAUACACUAGUGAGCAUCUAUUCUCUCUCAACCCACUUUUUUAUCCUCUGAAAUCUUGGAAGAGUUCUAGUUAGAUGGUUGACGCAUUGUCCUAUGAAUUGAUAUUCAAUGGUUAGGAAAUGACUUACCCCGUUGCAUGUGGUGCUCCCCCCUAACUAGUCUGGGUAAGGAGAGAGUGAGGGUAUAUAGUACCAAGCCUUACCCUUUCUUUUUUACAAAGAGGUAGUUUUUACUCUUGGAAUUCGUGGCUUACAAGUUACCGAAAGAGCAAUUUUUGACUUCCUACCUCAUAUUUUUAAUCUUUCAUAGGUCAAUAAGCUUCCAACAUAUUAUUUUUCACUCUUUUGGAAACAUAUAAAAAUUGUUAAAUUAUGGAUUUUGUAGAGUUUGAGACUAUUAGGAGGUUGUUCACUGAUUGCCUGCUGAAGUUUGAAUAGAUAUACCUUCCCAGAAUCUUUUCCCAAUGGUUUGACAAGAUAUUUUCUUGGGAAAAUGCAUAAGUACCCCCCAACCUAUGCCCGAAAUCCCAGAGACACACUUGUUGGCUUACAUUUGUACAACAUUUUAGUCAUGUAGAUUCAGGGUGUGUUUUGAUAUGAAGAAAAAUGUUAUCUUGAAAAAUAAGUGGGUUUCUUACUUAUUUUCUAGUGUUUGAUAAGCAAACAAAAAAAAUAUUUUCCCUAGAGCAUUUAUAUGUAAUAUAGCAAAACACCAUGAGGGUCCGGGGGUGGGGAAUGGGGGUUCGGGGGUGGGAUGGUUCAAGGGUGCAUUAGUGGGGAGGAAACAAUAAACUUAAAAUGUCACUUGUGGAAUUUGUUUUCCCUACUUGCAUUAGAAAAGUCACUUUCCUCAAUUUUAAGGAGCUUGUUUCCUUGAGAAAUUUUUUUCCAAAACAUUUCGACCAACAAAACAUGUGAAAAUCGACAGAAAAUGUUUCCUCCAUGCUAAAUACACCCUUGAUGUCUAAUUUUCCUCCUCUUAUCUAAAGACCAAGUAGCAUAUUCUGAGGUUUUAAUAUGCGAUAGUUGCUAAACUUAAAGAGGUUGUUGCAGGAAUGACAGAGUGGAAGAUUCUCUAGAAUGCUACCGAAAAGCUUUCGACAUUCUCUAUCUGGUAAGAAAUUCUUUGAUACACUUUUAGUUUGAUUCAUUCUCCUACUCUAAAUUGCUUGUCAUUUGCCUUGUCCUGUGUCCUCUCAUCUUUUUGUUACAUUGCAGAAUGAUGCAUCCAUGCAUGGAGUACUCAAGCUUGCGACUCAUCUCUGUUCAACAGAAAGCGAUUGAAUUACUUGCAUUGCUCCUCGCAAGACUCUGUUUCCUUGCUUGGAUUGGCAAACAGCACGAAUGACCUCUACUUUCUUACAUUCUUAUAAGAAAUCGUGUCAAGAAAAUCUCCAUUCAAGAUACAUAGCAGCACUCCUAAUAUCGACAACUUCUCAACAUUUGUCGUCACCAUCAGGCACUACCUCAAUCUAGGCAUGUUUACUGGCUUCACAUGCAGAGAAUGGAGAGAAAUCUCCGGUUUAGAGUGUAGAUUGAUUUACCUUGGGAAAUAAUUCAUUUGGGAACUCGUUGUAUUGCUCCGUAGCUCAUAAUGUAGCUUGUUGCAAUUCACAAUGAAGUGGUGAUUCCCUUUAUAAGGAUUCUUAGAACCAUUUUUAACAACAUUUAAAGACCACCUAUCUUACAAGGUACUGAUGAUACCUCUAAGCUGCUACAAUGACUGGUGUAUCUAGUAAUUUCUUGUACGUUGUUUAUUUCCUUGUUCGAGUAUGAACGCGUAAUUCCUCUCUUCACUCCCAUUUACUCGAUUAUUGUUUCUCUUUGUGAGUUUUAUCUUCCACAAAUAUUCAGGUUAAGUUGCACUUUAUUUUGGCAUCAUAUUAUUAGAGCAAUGCUUCCUGCAUGGAGGGAGACUACUGGGCAGAUGAUGAGUUGAUGAUCCAAAUAACAAAAAGGAGUAAGUUCCUCAUUGUUAAAAAUUGGUGAGACAUGCUCUUUAGACCCAAUUCAAUCUUAACAUUCUGUCUAAUUAUCAGUCACGAUAUGGUUCAAACUCAACUAAUUUCGAGUCGCACCUGGUAGGUCCACUAAGAUGGAACGCUUCCGACAAAAAGGCAAAAGGAAUCUCAACUAUCACACCUACAUUUUUUUUGUGAGUAAUGUAAAUCUUUUUCUUAUAUUUCAAGGGUUGUCCUUGUGAUGCCAAGGAAGUGCACAUCGAGCCCAUAUGAAGGAUUUGGUUAAGAUAAGCUAGAGCCUACAAAGUGCAAAUGGAACCUAACCAUAUACAUCGCUUAAACUUUCUUAAACUUCAGGGUGAGUGAUGUAUGCUUGUUGGCAUAGUGGAGUUUUCCUGUUUCAUAUUCCAGCCUAGUUUAUAGGCCAUAACAAAUGUUCUAUUCGAUGCACCCCUAAAGUUAUUUCAUUUUAUAUGAUACUAGAGGAGUUGAGUUGAAGCUUCCAAUCUAUGUGCACAGGUCAAUUUAGUAGGAAAACAGUUCUGUCAAUGCUGUAUGCUAGACAGCAACAAAUACUGUGUACAAAAACCUCUUGACAAUGCUUUUGUGUUGUUUGUAUUAUGAUGAUCCAACUGAUGAUGGUCUAGAGACAAAUGACAAAUUGAGAGCAGUAUAAAAGUCAUUACUUAUUAUUUAUGUCCUCCCCUCUUUGAGAGAACAGAAAGAGUACUAUACUCGUGGACAUUUCCAUAGUCAUUUACACUGGCACAUCCCUAUAUAAGUGAGGAAGAAAACAUUAACAAGACCCACUAAGCCAGUUGCAACUUGCAAUCAUGUAUGAAAGAAAGGAUAUAUGGCAUUCUCUUCAUUCCUAAAUUAGAUGUAGAAACACAAAAAGAAGGAUUAGUGAUGUUAAGUUUGUAUACUCGGAUUUACUAAUCAUCGCUUACUCUGCUGCUGCUGACGUUGGUAAUGCCAAGCUGUUAUCAGUCAGUUCUUCCGAGGGUGAUUCCGAUUCCAGCUGAGUGUAAAAGCUCUUUGUAUAGUGGAACUCAAUUUGCAGUCUCUGAUGAAGUGGCGUAGAUGCCAUCAACCCUUUCUUCACAUCAACUUGUAGUUCCCUAAUGGGGAUUACGGCCAAAAAAACUCUUAAUGUACUCUUUGCAGGCCCCUUUACCUUUGCAAACAAGGCUCGGUUCGUCCUCAUUUUCAGGUACUUUAUCUCUGAAGGCAACGGUUGAUUCUUCCAUCUUUUCGUUGGUGUUAUUUGAGACAAUCUUCCCUUCAUUAAUAGCCUGCUUCUUAUCAGUUUGCUCCUUUUUAGUGCUAGCUGGUUUCUCAUCUGAUUGUUGACUCGUGUUAGGUAGCUGCAAGAUUGUAGUGUCUCUGUCGAAUUUGAGGAUGAAAGCCUGGUUGCAGCCUUCAUACAGUCUCUCACCAAGUGUAUCGAUGAUAUAGUAUGCAUCUCGUUCAACCUUGAGGAUGAAGAAGUGGUCAUUCCAACUCACAAUGUAAACAAAGCACUCGCCAUGACUGGGACUGUCUUGAACAGAUUUAGUAAUCUCAUCCCAAAUGUUGUCAAAGGACAUGGCAUCUUUGAGAAAAUCGAAUCCCUCAUCUUCGAUUCCUUCCGGAUGAAAAAAACCAAUGAAUGAUUUCUCUGGGACUACUGAGAGCUACUUUAGCCUGGACAACUGUGUCGAGGUCAAAAUGCUUAUCUGGGAAACACUCCCUGUACGUCUUGUUUUCACAUAGAUUCCUCCACUCUAGUGAACCUUCACGGAUAAGAUUAUCGAGUUGGGACUUGAGAGGCAUUUCUUCAGGGUUGGAAUGGAACCAAUCAGCAAUCACAGCAACCAAGGCUGUACAAGCACUUUCACCUGCAGCCCGUUCAUUUCGUUGAUCAAUUGAAGCAAAGAAGACCUCAGUCUGCAGCUUCAUCUGCCCAUCACGGCUUA
rnacentral:lncRNA from 1 species